ACAAAGCAGUGGAUAUUGCUGUUCCAAUUCCUGUAAUUAUUCACUGUGCACAUGUAGAUGAAGAAAAUCCCCAAGAGGCACAAGACAAGAGCACCUCUAGUGGAUGUAUAAUUUCCUCCACAAGGAAGACAACAGUUUCCUGCCUUAGUGAUGCAGUUUGAGAUCCAAGGAAAAAUUUUCUACUGAAAAAUACCAGAGUCAGAAGAAGGCACUUUAAUGGGGUUUCCUACAUUUGCUACAUGCUCUCAGGAAAACCUUACAGACCUUGGUUCCUUGUCGCUGGCUCCCUCUGCAGCUCCUCCCAUGGAAAGGGGAGAGACAUAAAAA